rnacentral:rRNA from 1 species
UACGAAGGGGGCUAGCGUUGCUCGGAAUCACUGGGCGUAAAGGGUGCGUAGGCGGGUCUUUAAGUCAGGGGUGAAAUCCUGGAGCUCAACUCCAGAACUGCCUUUGAUACUGAGGAUCUUGAGUUCGGGAGAGGUGAGUGGAACUGCGAGUGUAGAGGUGAAAAUUCGUAGAUAUUCGCAAGAACACCAGUGGCGAAGGCGGCUCACUGGCCCGAUACUGACGCUGAGGCGCGAAGGCGUGGGGAGCGAACGGGAUU